CCUACGGGAGGCAGCAGUAGGGAAUAUUGCUCAAUGAGGGAAACCCUGAAGCAGCAACGCCGCGUGCAGGAUGAAGGUUUUCGGAUUGUAAACUCCUUUUGUUAGUGAAGAUAAUGACGGUAUCUAACGAAUAAGCAACGGAUAACUCCGUGCCAGCAGCCGCGGUAAUACGGAGGGUGCAAGCGUUACUCGGAAUCACUGGGCGUAAAGAGCGCGUAGGCGGGAUAGCAAGUCAGAUGUGAAAUCCUAUGGCUUAACCAUAGAACUGCAUUUGAAACUGUUAUUCUAGAGUAUGGGAGAGGUAGGUGGAAUUCUUGGUGUAGGGGUAAAAUGCGUAGAGAUCAAGAGGAAUACUCAUUGCGAAGGCGACCUGCUAGAACAUAACUGACGCUGAGUCGCGAAAGCGUGGGGAGCAAACAGGAUUAGAUACCCCAGUAGUC
rnacentral:rRNA from 1 species